rnacentral:snRNA from 1 species
GGCUCAUCAGCACCUUUGGU